AUACUUACCUGGCACGGGAGAUACCAUGAUCUCGAAGGUGGUAUUCUCAGGGUGAGGCUUAUCCAUUGCAUUUCUUAUGUAAUGACCCUUGAGAUUUCCCUGAAAUUGGGAAACUUGAUGGCAUAAUUUGUGGUAGUGUGGAAUUGUGUUUGCACUUUCCCCU